AUGGCCCCGCUCGCUUAGCAAACUGAACUUAUGUCUUUAGUAGCCAUUCAUGUGGGGCAAAGGAAGUGCUCUGUCCAAACUCAAGAAAACUAUGUGUUUAGAACCUGUCAUAGGGAGUAACA
rnacentral:snoRNA from 1 species